AAAAAAUAGAAAAAUAUUAAGCAUACUAUUUCCAAACAAUUAAUACUGACAACAAACAAACAAAAAAAAUGUUACAAUUUAACACGAACCAACAAAGCAAACAUUCCCGCGCAAGCUCCACGAUGUCAACUUGACACAUGUAAUAUAUUCAACCUUAAACCCGAAUCGUGUCAUCGCGUGUGUAACCAGCUUUAUUUGACGACAAAACCGCUCGCGACGUCGUAGCGACCACCAGUCACCGUUCACAGGGAAAUAAGUAACGACGCUCGCUCACAUCAGCGAUACAACGAAGUAAACCGAAAAAUAAUACAGUACUUAACGAUUUUUAGAGAAUUAGCUUAUCUGUGUAUAUUUUAAAUUUAGUUUAAUUCAACAUUUGAGUGACAUGUGAGGUCUACGCUCGUAGUUUAAUGCUACGGACUUGUACUACGAGAGUGCUACGCUCGUAGCCAAUGCAUUGACCUGAUGAAACGAAUCGAUUGUAAGUAUUCUUGUUUUGAUUUUGAUAUUAUUUUGUCUUUUAUUACGCAUUCUUAUCCAAUUUUUUUCGGUGUAAUAGUGACAAUAACUCAAAAGUGUUCUCUUCGGUUUUCUUUCAUUUUUGAAAACUUGUAAGGCUUGUGUAAAGCGUCGUUUCUCAUUGAGUUUGUAAACACUUACACUUGAUUAAUUUUCUUUGUUUUUAUUUUUUGCCUCUAAGUACUGUACUGGUAUAACAAAAAGCGUUUUUUUUUUAUAACGGGAACAAUUGUGUUGUUUAAUUCAUAAAAAAAAUGUUUACAUAUGUGUGCGGAGCAUUUAAUUUAUACUACAUAUAAACCUUUCUUAAUAUAUUCUAUUAUUUAAAAAUUAAAACUAUUUCCAACUUAUUUAUAGGUAUGCAAGGCUAUUAAUAAAUCGGGUAAUUUAUUAGUGUGUCGUAAGCUUUGACAAUGUAAGGAAGUUGCAUUACUUGACGUUUGGGUUUCAAUUAAUCACUGCCUCAACCGUUGGCAGACGUACUGAGACCAAGCUUUCAGUUUUGACAAGAAAUAAAUGUUUUGCCGACAAAAUUUAUUGUAUCAAAAAAGUCUUCAGUUAGUCUUUUGAAUGAAAUUAAUUAUUCUUUGCAUUAAUUACAAACUUAAACAAUACUUUGAGUAUCGCGCUAUUUUUUUAACAUAUUUAAUAUUUCUCAUUAAGGUACGAUUUCUUAAUUAUGGUAUAGUGUUUUUAAAGAUAAGUAGCUGUGGUUUUAGAUUUUACCAUUUUAUAUAAGGCACACUUUAAAAUAAUCACUUUAAAGAUACAAAAGGAUAAAUAAAAAUAAAAUGAUUAUUUUUCCUAAUGUACCAACAAUUACUAUCAAACUUAUGGAAACCCUACUAGUUGCCGACAGCGGAAACAAUUUACAAGCAACAGGCGGAGUGCAUAAUAAGCUGCCGCAACCGUUUAGCGAAUUAAUUCCUUUUUGAGUUGAACUUUUACGAAACAAUACUCCUUCGCAAAAAUAUUCACUGCGGAAUUUAUACAUUUUGGCGUUUACGAAAAAGUUUUUUGACAAAUUAAUUAAGCUUUGUUACAACGCGGCAAUAAAGAUUUGCAAACUUAAAUGUUUUCAGAUAUUAAAUGUUUUGAAUAAUUAUUUCAUUCAAGAUUAAAAAUAUGGUCACGGCAUUUAGUUUAGUGUUUAUAUCGGUGUAAAGAAUCAUCACGUUCUCGAAAUCCUUUUAUAGGAUUCUCUAUUUCAUUUUGUUCUUUCUUAUACAAUGAAAAAGAACCAAGUAAUUUCUUACAACUAUCAAAAUGCUGUUAUUUACUAUGUUCAUGAAUUUAUACAAAAUCUCAGUCAAGUUUCAUUGAAACACAAAUCCGUAAAAGCUCCUACCAUUUUCCACAGGUUCAUUCAUGGAACUUACAACUAUAACUUUUUAUUUGCAGAGCCGUCGGAAGCGAUAGAUGAUCAGAAUCAAUUAUGAGGAGGCAGGGGAGUUGUGCACGCACUAAUAGAAACUGUCGCGUGACUCAAUGAGUUAGAGCGAGCGUCGAGUGGGAAUAUGGUACUGUGGCAGUCCUCGCAGCGGCCUAUGUACGUCAGGACGGUGUGGGUGGGCGGCUUCCGACACGCCAUCCUCACGCACGACGACCCCUACCUACUCAAGCUGCACGCCAAGCGGCGCCGGCCCAACUCCUCGGCCAGCUGCGCCACCAACACCAACAACACCAACCUCAUCAGCCAUCGUACCGAGGAUCUACAAGAUUGCUUGCGAAAACUCAACCUUGUUCUCACGAGCGAUAAGUCGAGAAUCAACCAGCGGCCGAACACCUCCCACGACGAUAUUGAAACGCUGAACUUGAAUGGUGUGGAAGACAUUGACGACGAGUUCAUUAUAAAAGCCAGUCCCCAGCCUCUGAACGAGUUACAUCUUCACAAUUACGAAAGUCUCGAUUUCAACAUGAGGAACUUGAGAGCAAACAAAACGGCCAGGACCGACGCCAAGGAGAACACUGAACUUUCCGAACGUGUGCUGCAGUGGUUAGAUCUAGCUGGUAAAAUAGAUUUACUGGCGCCGGGGAAUGCGGAAAGAAUGUCACAGCCACGACACAGCUGGCCUGAGCUACAGCGUCGGAACCACAACUUGUCAAAAUCAAAAACGACAACCGACAUACGUAAGGAGGGGCGAGCCUCGCCGAAAGGGGGAGACAGUCCAAAAGCGCAACAAAACGGGAAUAUUGAUCGGCACGAUUUUUAUGUGCCGACGUCCGCGAACACGAUCGAGAACUACGCGCGGCAGUCACGGCACGCGAAGAUCACGCCGCGGCACGAGACGCCCGCCAAAAUAAAAGACAGCCACAAAACAAAAGGCAGAGACGUCCGGACUAACGUGGAUCAAACGCGGCAAAAAGUGAUCUCAGAGAAGAAUGCCGUCGAGAAACAAUACGCGGACAUGCUGAACAAGAAACUGAUACCAGAUGUUAGCAAGAACCCUAAACGACAGGUCCAUAUCUUUAUGCCCGAUUUGCCCAAAAAAGUUGAGUCCAUUAUAACCAAUACCACGGAAAGUUUACUAUCUCAACCUUCUUAUAAAAGUUUGAAAUUCGAAACAAAUAUAAAGAAAAAAUAAAACUGCGGUUAUUUUUUAUUUACCUUCACACGGAAAAUAAAGUAACAUUUGAUGUUGUGAUAGUUUGCAGUGAAUCAAAUUUAUUAAGUGGCAACUCUAUAAGGUUCUUAAUACUUGGCAGUCAUGAAAACAAAUGCGUAGCUUAAAUGCCUACGCAAUAAAAUGCUUUUUUAUUAGAUAGCUUUUACGACAUUGUAAUUUCUUAAUCGAAUAAAUUAUUUCUAUUUGUUUCCAAAUUUAAAUUCAAGGAUGGUAUAAAAAGGUUUUAAAUGAAACGUGGCCUUGCGGUUUUAUGGGAUAAGGACGUUCAUCAAAAUAUUGUAGUAUUUGUAUUGGGAAAGGACUUACUCCAUUAUGAUCGGUAGGAACUUAUGCCUUGCUGAUGAUAUGCCGAUUCUUACGGCUGAAAUGAUCGUAUUUUUCUGAGCUUUAAGCAUACUUUUCUAUGUAGUACUGUUCAGAAUCAAGUGCACCUAUCCUAAAUGUGAUUUUGUUGAUUAUUUCUGAUCGACUUACCCC